UAGCAUCAAAAUAAAUCAUCGAAUGCAUUUUAUCAAUUGGCGGCCAUUACAAGAAGAGGAAGUCACCAUAAAAGGAAAUGUUUGACGAUGCUACUUAUGUUUAGUGGAAACUGUGGAGUUUCUGAUGGCUUGAAACAAUCAAGUUGUAAGACAAACCUGAUGCAAGAAAAAAAUGACAUUCGAAUGAAGGAUUCUCAAAGGACAUUCAUGAUUGUUUUUAACGUACAUUUCUUAAUUAAAUGCAUACAAGAAGAUUGCCAAACAAGAUUACGUAACGAUUAAUCAUUUAAAUCUGUGAUUUAAACAUGCACAUUUUUUAUCAAAUAAAGUAGCGGCUGACGCUCUGGUACCCAUGUUUUAUAAUAACACAUGUUAUGCCCAAGCGUCGUGAUUCUUUUUUUAAUUUAAAGUAAAAUUCUUAAAGGUUGAGAAGUAAGCCAAGCUAAAUAUUUAUCCACAGAAACAAAAACACGUGGAUAUAUUAGGGCCUGUGUUUGGAGAAGGCCCAGGGUGUAACAAGAAAUACUGUAUCGUCAAUAGCUUGUUUGUUUGAGGGUGUGUGUUAUCCUAUAAGGUGUUCGUCAUCUUGUUUCUUCCUAAAGUGCAAUGUUUAUGAAAAGCAAAAUGUAAAACAGACCUUUUCGGUGCAGUAUAAAGCACUUACUAUCGAGUAAAGAAAUUUUAAUGUGAAGAUAAUCAAAUUGUAACCAUAUGCCCAAAAGUGGAUUUAAAUAAUUCAUGCACAAUAUGUACUUUAGUGUACAAACUGAAACGGACCACAAAAACAUCCGAGAUCAUUUGCAUGCUACAGAGAGUACAUGACUUUCGCAUCCGCCCUAAAACCUUUGUAAUGACCGGGUAGACUGAAUAAUUGGUCAUGAUAUUUCUGUAAAAAUACUGUUAUGCAAUUAUAAUAAAGAAUAUAGUGGAAUAAAUGAACAUAUCUUGCGAUGCUAUGAAAAUGUACUGUAUAUAAAAAAUUAAAUUUAAAUGUUUGCAAGGUUGGAAUUUUGUACUUACAUCGAGUAAUCAUUUUUCAACGAUUUUUCACAGUAUUUCUGUAGUAUCAAUUAAUUUAUUCUUCACAUCCAUACAUGUGCAUGUAAUUAAAUUUUUUAUAGUCUUAGUUAGUUCGGCAUAAAUGGCAGAAAGUGUGGGCGAUUCAGAAGUUAAUUAUAUAUCAAUUCACUAUAAUUAGAGUAAGAAAGGUAUCUUGCAGGACUGGAGAGAAAAAAAAGUGUAAUUACAUGUUAUGAGUAUUUUAAAAUAAAAUGUUUCUUCUAAUUCAUGUUACAAGUAUCAUGAACAUGUAAUUAUUAAUUAUGCAUACUAGUUUGUAAUGAAAUGCGAUUUGAUUUGAAAUUUGAACAGGAGAAAAUUUAAUUAUUAAUUGUCUUAAAUUGAAUUUUGAUUUUCGAUUUGCUUUGAUACUUUAAUGUAAAAUGAUUAUGAUUAUAGGCUCUCUUUGUCAAAGUCAUCAGUCGUCGUAUUGAAACCCUUCUUCAUGUGUUGUACAGCUUUUUGAUAUGAAAUAAAUGCACAAUAACA